GGGUCAAUGAUUAAUCCUUUGCAUUGUCUACAUAGAGGCCAUGACUUAAAAGAUAUGCUCAAUAGAAUUAUGCUGAGGACC
rnacentral:snoRNA from 1 species